GGAGCAGCACCAGAAGAAACCCUAUUUGCCACUUGACCCCUUCCAGAUUGACCUGAGGAUAGGUGUGGAAUGGACUUCAUUGAUGAAGCACUGGGUAAACCAGGUUUUUGCUUCUUGCUCUUUGAUCCUGAGACAGGUCCACGUUUAGCAGUUGAUGAAGAUGGCUGAUGUGAAGCAGAAACAGCUUGUGGGUGAAAUGACGGAGAUGGACCACCAAAGGAUUGAGAUGAGGUAAUCUUUUGUUUCUUGCGAGAUGCAGAGACAGUAGGACUGGGUAUUGGAUCAUGAACAGCUUGACCUGUACCAAGUAUGCCAGAUUGAAGCCCACCAGUCUGUCUCCACUCCCUUAUUCUGCGUAUGACAUCAUCAGCAUUAACCCUGCCAAGAAGCUCUCUAUGCUCCUCAUUAG
rnacentral:misc_RNA from 1 species